rnacentral:rRNA from 1 species
AGUCUAGCGCGAAAGGGGAGCAAUCCCCGAGUAGAGCGGCGAAAGGGUGAGUAAUACGUUCCUAUGUACCCCGAGGUCAGGGAUAGCCCAGGGAAACCUGGAUUAAUACCUGAUGUGGUCUUCGGAUCAAAGGCGCAAGUCGCCUCGGGAGCAGGGAACGUCCUAUCAGGUAGUUGGUGAGGUAAUGGCUCACCAAGCCUUUGACGGGUAGCGGGUGUGAGAGCAUGGCCCGCCACAUCGGGACUGAGACACUGCCCGGACUCCUACGGGAGGCUGCAGUAACGAAUCUUCCGCAAUGCGCGAAAGCGUGACGGAGCAAUGCCGCGUGCAGGAUGAAGCCCUUCGGGGUGUAAACUGCUGUCAGGGAUUAGGAACACAAUGACCAAUCCCAAAGGAAGAGACGACUAACUCUGUGCCAGCAGUCGCGGUAAUACAGAGGUCUCGAGCGUUAGUCGGAAUCAUUGGGCUUAAAGCGUACGUAGGCGGAUAUGCAGGCGUCGUGUGAAAGCCCUCGGCUCAACCGAGGAAUUGCACGGCGAACCGCAGGUCUUGAGACAAGUAGGGGCUGUCGGAACGAUAGGUGGAGUGGUGAAAUGCGUUGAUAUCUAUCGGAACGCCGAUGGUGAAAACAGACAGCUGGGCUUGUUCUGACGCUGAAGUACGAAAGCGUGGGGGAGCGAACGGGAUUAGAUACCCCGGUUGUCCACGCCGUAAACGAUGUGCACUAAAUCGAAGAAGGAUCUGAUUCCAUUCUCGGUCGAAGUAAAACG